UACAAUUGGGCCACUCUGAUCCUGCUGUAGGGGUCUGAGACUGGUUCUCUGUUUCCAACUAAGUGGAUCUAGCCAGCUGCCUCACACAGAGUUGAUGCUCAGUAAACACUUAAGAAGUGCGAAGGGGUGGAUCCAAGUUAGAAAUAAGAAUGGGGAAUUAGCCAAAGCCAGGGCCUCUCAGUCCCCUGUGCCCCAACAUCUAUUCUUCUGAUGGCAGAUGGUUCACCUAGUUGAGCAGCCUCUGGGGGCUCUGCUCAGCAUCCCACCCACUGACUCGGUCGCUCACCCCAUGAGAGAGAUUAGGAGCUUUCACAGGAUCUUGGAACAUCCACUACAGGCUGUGUGGAGCCUUCCCUCUGUGAAGUUGCUGGUCUGUGAGGGUGGCCACGCUGCGCUGGGGUGGGGAGGGGACUCAGGGGCCUAGAAAAGAGCAGGGCCUUCAUCUGAGCAUUCUUCCAUCCCUCCUGGGUAAGGCACACAGGUAUUCAUUCAUUCCACAAAGAUAGGUUGUACUUAAGAAAUAAUUGCUUGAUUAGUUAACUAUAAUGGUUUGUAGGUGUUUUACCAAAUGUGCCUGGCUCAGCAGGUGCUUAAUGCAUAUUUGACUAAUUAAUGACUAGUUUUCAGGCCCUUAACCAGAUGUGCUUAGCAUAGUGCCUGUGCCAUAGGUGUGCAGAUAGUAAAAUGAAUAAAUUAAUGUUUGAAUGAACGAAGGGGUAGGAAGGAAGAUCAGGCUGGGAACAGCCUUUCUCUGCUGAGUGUAUGUAUAUUGUGUGAUCGUGUCCUGGUGUGUGUGUGUGUGUGUUUGUGCCUCCUCUGCUAACAGGACACAAGCUCGUCAUCCUCUCCUGCCACUGCCAUGUCGCCUCAGCCUAAAUCAGCUCUAGUUCUGAACCCCCUCCUGGUCAGUGUGGACCCUGGCCAGCACGUCUGCACAGCUCUUGGCUCAGAGCAGCGGGAGCUGGCCAGACUCCGGCAGCCAGUGUUACCCUGAGACUGCCCCUCGGAGCUCCAAAGAUAUGUCUUCACCAGAAACCAGGGGGGAGUCCCCACGGGCCAGCUCCUGAUGAUCAGACCCAAAACAUUUCUGUUGUUAUUGCCCAGUGGGGCCCCUUGGGAGGAAUCCUGCUUCUGCCUCUGUUGUGUCCCUCUCUGGGUCUCAGAAGGGUUUUCUCCAGCCUGGACCUGGGAGAGGAACAUUCUUCCCCUGGAGUGGAGCUGGGCAGAGUAUCAGGUGACCCCUGAGCCACCUGGGAAAGCAGUGACCACCCCAGAUAUUAACAGUAACCUCAUUACCCAGGAGCAGGUGCUGGUGCUGGCCACAUCUGAGCAAACAUCAGGCCAGUCAAAGCAAAUCUGGCCGGGCGCAGUAGCUUACGCCUGUAAUCCCAGCACUUUGGGAGGCCGAGAUGGACAGAUCACCUGAGGUCAAGAUGUUCGAGACCAGCCUGACCAACAUGGUGAAACCCCGUCUCUACUAAAAAUACAAAAAUUAGCCAGGGAUGGUGGCGCACAACUGUAGUCCCAGCUACUCAGGUGGCUGUGAUGGUGCACACCGGCUACUCGAGAGGUUGAGGCAGGAGAAUCACUUGAACCUGGGAGGCAGAGGUUGCAGUGAGCCAAGAUGGCACCACUGCACUCCAGCCUGGGCGACAGAGCGAGACUCCGUCUCAAAAAAAAAAAAAAAAAAAGAAAGCAAAUCUGAUGAUUCUGAAGGCCAGCCUCUGGGAAUGUCUGGACACAUAGUACGUGUUUACUUACCUUCCUGCUAUGCUUCCUUUCCAGAAACAUGCUGGUGCUUUGCAAACAGAGGCAGCAAAACAAACAAUACAUUCUCCAAGAACAUAUUUUAAAGAAAGCAUUCUACACAGUUUUGAGGCCAGGCUGUCCAGAUGAGUGUCUGUAAAUUAAAUCUAGGAUCUGUUUCUGCUUUCUCAAUUGAUCACGCAUGUCCCAACGGAAAGAAAUGUUUGCUGCCUCUGCAGGUGGUGAACAAGUGCUGAAUAAGGCCUUUCAUUCAUUCGGUUGUUCAUUCAAAAACACGUAUUGAGGCCGGGCGCAGUGGCUCACGCCUAUAAUCCUAGCCCUUUGGGAGGCCGAGGCGGGUGGAUCACCUGAGGUCAAGAGUUCAAGACCAGCCUGGCCAACAUGGUGAAACCUCGUGUCUACUAAAAAUACAAAAAUUAGCCAGGCGUGGUGUUGGAUGCCUGUAAUCCUAGCUACUCAGGAGGCUGAGGCAGGAGAAUUGCUUGAAUCCAGGAGGCAGAGGUUGCAGCGAGUCGAGAUUAUGCCACUGCACUGGGUGACAGAGCAAAAACUCUGUCUC
rnacentral:lncRNA from 1 species